rnacentral:rRNA from 1 species
GGGCCCGCACAAGUAGUGGAGCAUGUGGUUUAAUUCGAAGAUACGCGCAGAACCUUACCAACACUUGACAUGUUCGUCGCGACUUUAAGAGAUUAAAGUUUUCGGUUCGGCCGGACGAAACACAGGUGCUGCAUGGCUGUCGUCAGCUCGUGUCGUGAGAUGUUGGGUUAAGUCCCGCAACGAGCGCAACCCACAUCCCUAGUUGCCAGCAGUUCGGCUGGGCACUCUAUGGAAACUGCCCGUGAUAAGCGGGAGGAAGGUGUGGAUGACGUCAAGUCCUCAUGGCCCUUACGGGUUGGGCUACACACGUGCUACAAUGGCAUCUACAGUGGGUUAAUCCCCAAAAGAUGUCUCAGUUCGGAUUGUCGUCUGCAACUCGACGGCAUGAAGUCGGAAUCGCUAGUAAUCG